AGUAUGAUAGGUUGGAAGAUUCAAAGGGAAAGUGACCGAAAUCCUCAAUAGAGAGAGGGAGAGAAAUUGAGUCUGAAAAAAUGGCAGAAGCGGCAGUGGAAUUCCUGCUGGAAAACCUGAAGCAGCUGCUGAUCCACCACGCCGACCUAAUAAAAAACGCGAGGAGCCAGGUGGAGAAGCUGGAGCAGGACGUCGGCUUCUUCAAAUCCUUUUUGAAGAAGGUGUCGAGCAAGAAGCUGCGGCAGGACCACACGCUCAAGGCGCUGGUGCGUGAGAUCCGCGGCGUCAUCUACGACGCCGACGACGCAAUCGACACUAUGGUCACGCAGGCCGCCGAGAAAAAGACACGGAAAUACAUCCCCAAAUUUGUAACCCUCCCCAGCAACCAUGACAUCAGCAACGCAGAGAGGAUCAAUGAGAUCUGCAGCAGGAUCACUCACAUCCUCAACGGCAAUGACAAGUUUAACCUCCUCAAUUUCUCCACCGCCGAUGAUGGCCCUGAUGAAGACGCUCUGCAGCCAACACCAUCAAAAAAAGAUAAUGUGGUGGGUUUGGAAGAUGAGGCUAACAAAAUAGUUGGCUAUCUCAAAGAAAACACUUCACAUUUGGAUGUGAUCUCCAUCAUUGGCAUGCCUGGCCUCGGCAAGACAACACUAGCCGGAAAGAUAUUUCACGAUCCCGACAUCAAGUAUGAAUUCACCACCCGUGUAUGGGUUUAUGUAUCCCAAGAGUUCACAGAGAAGGAGGUGUUUCUUUCCAUUUUGAGACAGAUGAAGACUCAGUUCAACGAGGAAGAGUACACGAAAAAGAGAUGCUCAGACCUCGCGAAAGAAACAUCAGCUCUUUUGGGCGAGGUUGGAAAAUUCUUGUUAGUCAUGGAUGAUGUGUGGGAGACUAAAGACUGGGAUAAGAUCAAAGAAUGUCUGCCUGAGGAUAACACGAGAGGUAAAGUCAUGAUCACCAGUCGCCAGAUGGAUGUGGGGAAGCAUGUCAACCGCUUCAGAGAGCCUCACCCUUUGCGUAAGUUGGAUUUGGAUGAGAGUUGCGAGCUACUCCAAUGGGAGGUUUUCAAAAAGCCAGAGUUCCCGCGUGGUUUGAAACGUGUCGGGAGAGAGAUUGCUGCAAAGUGCGACGGCCUGCCCCUGGCUAUCGUGGUGUUAGGAGGCGUUCUUGCCACCAAGUUCUCAAAAACUGAGACUCAAUGGGAGAUAGUUUCUACAAGUGUGAGUACGUUCCUUGGUUAUGAUUCAGAGAAACGCAUGGAGAAGAUCAUAGCAUUGAGUUAUGAGAGGUUGCCUUACCACUUGAAAGAAUGUUUCCUAUAUAUGGGUAUGUUUCCGGAAGAUUGUGAGAUCCCCGCUUGGAAAUUGAUCCGAAUGUGGAUUGCAGAAGGACUAAUACAGCCCAAGGACGGCAUCACCAUGGAGGAGGUUGCUGGCUACAAUCUUGAUGAUUUGAUCAAUCGAAAUCUGGUUAUGGCUGCAAAAUUGAAGGCUGAUGGGAGAGUCAAGUCCUGCAGGAUUCAUGACAUGUUACGUGACUUUUGCAAAGUUGAAGGCGGGAAAGACAGUGAUAAUUUCUACCAAGAAAUUAAGUGGUCCAGUGAUGAAGGGCUUCAGCCCUCCGUCACUGAAGCACAGAAGCAUCGACGCCUCUGUAUCCACUCGCAUGUCAUGGACUUCUUCGGUAAAGGUCCAGAAGGCCCUUACGUCCGCUCGUUCGUCACAUUCUCCGAAGAUAUAGAGGUGCCUUUAGACAAAAUCGCGGCCAUUUGUUCGGCUUUCAAGCUGUUGAGGGUUUUAGAAGCAAAGCCCCUCAAAUUCUCGCGAUUACCCAAGGAUUUCCACGAGCUGUUUCAUCUGAGGUACCUCGCACUAUCCAUGAAGCCAGAGUCGAACUCAACGCCUUCCGUUCUCCCCUCCACCUUCAAAAAGCUUUGGAACAUACAGACUCUUAUAGUCGACACAACAUCACGUUCCCUCGACAUCAGAGCAGAUGUCAUGAGCAUGACUCAGCUAAGACAUCUGAAGACGAACGCGUGCACCACUAUUGUAAAGCCAGGUAAAGAAAGCAAAGAAGGUGAGAAGCUUCAGAGCCUCAGCACAGUGUCACCAGAGAGCUGCACGGAGGCACUCUUUGACAGGGCACGCAAUCUAAAAAAGCUCGGGAUCCGUGGAAAACUAUCCUCAUUCCUCAAUAGCAAGACCGGAACAUUUGAUUGUUUAACGAAACUGAGCUAUCUCGAGAAGCUGAAGCUGCUCAACGAUGUAUAUCCGAAGCCACCUUCGCUUGGGAAGCUCGACAGCCUCCCUCCGGCCUAUAAAUUCCCCGUAAAUCUAAGAAGCCUGACUCUACAAAACACGUAUCUGGAGUGGACACACAUGUCUACUUUAGGGUCACUGCAGAAACUGAAGGUGCUGAAGCUCAAGGACAAGGCGUUUGUAGGGACGACAUGGGAGGUGAUGGAGAGAGGCUUCAACGCGCUUGAGGUUCUGCAUAUUAGGAGGACUGAUCUGUUGACCUGGACUGCAUCGGCGCAGCAUUUCCCGAGCCUUAAACAGCUUCAACUGCACAACUGUGAGAAGCUUAAGGAAGUUCCCAUAGGGCUGGCUGAUAAUCCGAAUCUGGAGUGUUUGGAUGUGCACUUCUGUGUGGAAGCAGCUGCCUCUGCCAUGAAGCUUGCUGCCGCCAAGAAGGCCAAAACCACCACCUUCACGCUCUCCAUUUUUCCACCAUGUGCAUGAAUCUAUUAUGUAUGUGCUAAAAAUAGCAAAAUGGGACUAUAAGGCACGGACAGAGGGAGUACUAUGCGGUUUCAACUCCAACAGAACAAGAAAUGUACUGCAUGCAAAAAAGUGAAUGGAGAGAAAUUAUGCCCAAUGAAUAAAUGUGCAUCGCAUCGUUGAUUCUUUGAGUGAACAAUAUUAUGUUGUAAUAGAACUAUCAUAUAGUUUUGUUUCGAUUAUAUCUUUGUAGUUGUGCAAUCAUGUCUCUGACUAUUCAAAGAAACCAGAUACCGCUUACCAGUCCAGGUAUGGUAUUGAGUGUGUAGUAUUUCCCAUUCAAAGAAGCCAGAUUGCCCUUAAUUAAUUAAGCCUUAAUAAUUUCUUUUCCA